CCGAAUUCGUCGACAACAGAGUUUGAUCCUGGCUCAGGACGAACGCUGGCGGCGUGCCUAAUACAUGCAAGUCGAGCGGACGGAUGGGAGCUUGCUCCCUGAAGUCAGCGGCGGACGGGUGAGUAACACGUGGGCAACCUGCCUGUAAGACUGGGAUAACUUCGGGAAACCGGAGCUAAUACCGGAUAACGCCGAGGACCUCAUGGUCCUUGGUUGAAAGAUGGCUUCGGCUAUCACUUACAGAUGGGCCCGCGGCGCAUUAGCUAGUUGGUGAGGUAACGGCUCACCAAGGCGACGAUGCGUAGCCGACCUGAGAGGGUGAUCGGCCACACUGGGACUGAGACACGGCCCAGACUCCUACGGGAGGCAGCAGUAGGGAAUCUUCCGCAAUGGACGAAAGUCUGACGGAGCAACGCCGCGUGAGCGAUGAAGGCCUUCGGGUCGUAAAGCUCUGUUGUUAGGGAAGAACAAGUACCGUUCGAAUAGGGCGGUACCUUGACGGUACCUAACCAAGAAAGCCACGGCUAACUACGUGCCAGCAGCCGCGGUAAUACGUAGGUGGCAAGCGUUGUCCGGAAUUAUUGGGCGUAAAGCGCGCGCAGGCGGUUCCUUAAGUCUGAUGUGAAAGCCCACGGCUCA
rnacentral:rRNA from 1 species